AAGGCACCGGGCCGUUCCACAGUUGGAAGGGCUAGCCUUUUGCUCCCUGACAACACAAGCAGAGGCAGCAUGACUUCCUGGCAACAACCUUCCCUCUUACUUUCAUCUGAAACCUUUCUACCUUCUAGCUGGCAAAUCUAUAGGAAGUGCAUCUGCUCUAAAGUCCUGGUGCUCGGAUGGAGCUCAUUCUAGCCUGAGGCCCCGCUGCAGACAGGACCGAGGCCCUUGACACUGCCAGGAGGCCGUCACCCAAGUCUUUGUGGUGGUGGACUACCUUGACACGGCAGGUGGCAAGAGCACUUCUCGCGUCAAGAAAGUUCAAUCCAGAUCAGAGAGAAGGAACGACCCCAGAAGCAAACUGUCGAGCCCCUGGGCCUCUCUCCUCUUGCAUAACAAGUUCCACACCCCUGUCCAGCCCAACCCCCACCCUUGAAGGCCAUCUCUGCAGACUUCCUGAUUCCAGUGGUGCCACAUGUGACUUGACCAAGGCACCCUCCGCUGGCAGCCUCGGGCCCCCAGGGUCUGCAUCAGCUGGGCUGAGUGCCUUCAUCGCUCGAAGCUUCUCCAUCAGCGAGGGGCGCAGGAACACUGUUUCGGGGCUGCUACCUCAUUGUCUGAGGAGGAGCGGCUUGACUGGAGGUAUAUCCAAUCUCUGUAUUACCAUGCUCUGUUAUCAUGGCGUCCCACCGCAUCUUCCUUGGGUUUAAUGAACAGCACCAGAGUGACUCCUUCACUUCCCAGGACCAUCUCAGGAAUUUUUAAAUCGGAGCAUGAGGCUGAUGGGAAGUGGCUCUCCCGACCAGCAGGAACAUCUAUGGGGCAGCUGUGACGUGACUGAGGGUAGUGUUUGCUGAUAGGCCCUGCUAAUAAUCCAGUGAGAUGCUGGCAUUCUUGGCAGGGCCCAGAAAGAGCAGCAACAGACCAACAGCUCUCCUGGCCGCUAAGGCCCCUGUAAGAUUCCUGAUCCUUGCUGUUCCUGAGCAGAGGAGAUUGGGAAGUUCUGUGAGCCCAGCUGGGCCAUCCUACCUCCUGCAGAUGGGAGUUUUUGUCAAGAAACCUUGGUCACUAGCUGGUUUACAUAUAUCCCGUAGAAAGGUUUAAUCCGCCUUUGAAGCUACUCGCUGGAGCAGAGCUUGAUAGUAGAGCCAGGAGAAAAGGAAUUCCUGGGGAGAUGGUCCUUUGCACCAGCACUGCCUCAUCGCAAGGGGAGGGACUGAAGCUCUUCCAGCCUAGUCCAGUCCUGGCGGCGUGGGCCACAGAGUCAGUGGACCUCCGCCUGCUGGUCUGCCGCCUCCUCCGGGCUGCACCUCUCACUCUUUGACCCUUUAGGGCAGGUGCUUGUCCUGAUAGAAGAAACCCCUGGAGCCCCAUCUGUGC
rnacentral:lncRNA from 1 species